rnacentral:rRNA from 1 species
UUGGACGCCUCUGCUAAAGAGGAGGAAGGGAAUGGGCAACGGUAGGUCAGCAUGCCCCGAAUUAUCUGGGCUACACGCGGGCUACAAUGGGUGGGACAAUGGGUAUCGACACCGAAAGGUGAAGGCAAUCUCCUAAACCCAUCCGUAGUUCGGAUUGUGGGCUGCAACUCGCCCACAUGAAGCCGGAAUCUGUAGUAAUCGUGUCUCAAAAUGGCACGGUGAAUAUGUCCCUGCUCCUU